AGCGAACGCUGGCGGCAGGCCUAACACAUGCAAGUCGAACGGAUCCUUCGGGAUUAGUGGCGGACGGGUGAGUAACACGUGGGAACGUGCCCUUUGGUUCGGAACAACUCAGGGAAACUUGAGCUAAUACCGGAUGUGCCCUUCGGGGGAAAGAUUUAUCGCCAUUGGAGCGGCCCGCGUCUGAUUAGCUAGUUGGUGAGGUAAAGGCUCACCAAGGCUACGAUCAGUAGCUGGUCUGAGAGGAUGAUCAGCCACAUUGGGACUGAUACACGGCCAAGCCUCCUCCGGGAGGCGGCAGUGGGGAAUCUUGCGCAAUGGGCGAAAGCCUGACGCAGCCAUGCCGCGUGAAUGAUGAAGGUCUUAGGAUUGUAAAAUUCUUUCACCGGGGACGAUAAUGACGGUACCCGGAGAAGAAGCCCCGGCUAACUUCGUGCCAGCAGCCGCAGUAACAC
rnacentral:rRNA from 1 species